rnacentral:rRNA from 1 species
UAGUCCACGCCGUAAACGAUGGUUACUAGCUGUUCGGACUUCGGUCUGAGUGGCUAAGCGAAAGUGAUAAGUAACCCACCUGGGGAGUACGUUCGCAAGAAUGAAACUCAAAGGAAUUGACGGGGGCCCGCACAAGCGGUGGAGCAUGUGGUUUAAUUCGAUGAUACGCGAGGAACCUUACCAGGGCUUAAAUGUAGUAUGACAGGUUUAGAGAUAGACUUUUCUUCGGACAUAUUACAAGGUGCUGCAUGGUUGUCGUCAGCUCGUGCCGUGAGGUGUCAGGUUAAGUCCUAUAACGAGCGCAACCCCUGUUGUUAGUUGCCAGCGAGUGAUGUCGGGAACUCUAGCAAGACUGCCGGUGCAAACCGCGAGGAAGGUGGGGAUGACGUCAAAUCAUCACGGCCCUUAGUCCUGGCCGACACACGGCGUACAAUAGUAGGUACGAGAGAGCAACCAACUGCGCGAGCAGGAGCGAAUACUAUAAAACCUAACUCACCAGUUACGGUACUCGGACGU